GUAAUAAAUAUGAUUAUAGAUAAUUUAUCUUGUAUUAUUUUGAUACCAUUCUGGAAUGAUUGAAUAUGCCUGAAGCAUAAUUCAAGUGAUAUUAUCACGAGGGGGAGUAAUUACGCGUUGUAUUCUUUUUCCCUUGACCAAGGAUUUAUCUCAUUGGAUUUUCCUAACAAGGUUUUUAAUGAGGCAACUUUUUUAACGUAUUCAAAA
rnacentral:lncRNA from 1 species